rnacentral:rRNA from 1 species
GACGAACGCUGGCGGCGUGCUUAACACAUGCAAGUCGAACGGAAAGGCCCUGCUUUUGUGGGGUGCUCGAGUGGCGAACGGGUGAGUAACACGUGAGUAACCUGCCCUUGACUUUGGGAUAACUUCAGGAAACUGGGGCUAAUACCGGAUAGGAGCUCCUGCUGCAUGGUGGGGGUUGGAAAGUUUCGGCGGUUGGGGAUGGACUGGCGGCUUAUCAGCUUGUUGGUGGGGUAGUGGCUUACCAAGGCUUUGACGGGUAGCCGGCCUGAGAGGGUGACCGGCCACAUUGGGACUGAGAUACGGCCCAGACUCCUACGGGAGGCAGCAGUGGGGAAUAUUGCACAAUGGGCGGAAGCCUGAUGCAGCAACGCCGCGUGCGGGAUGACGGCCUUCGGGUUGUAAACCGCUUUAGCCUGUGACGAAGCGUGAGUGACGGUAAUGGGUAAAGAAGCACCGGCUAACUACGUG